UACAGAGGGGGCAAGCGUUAUUCGGAAUUAUUGGGCGUAAAGGGCGCGUAGGCGGCUUUGCAAGUGACGGGUGAAAGCCCUCGGCUUAACCGAGGAACUGCCUGUCAGACUGUAAGGCUUGAGACCGGGAGAGGUGAGUGGAAUUCCCAGUGUAGCGGUGAAAUGCGCAGAUAUCGGGAGGAACACCAGCGGCGAAGGCGGCACUCUGGGCUGGUACUGACGCUGAGGAGCGAAAGCGUGGGUAGCAAACAGG
rnacentral:rRNA from 1 species